rnacentral:lncRNA from 1 species
UUCCAGUCCCCGUAUCAGUUGUUCCAGGUUUGAUAGAUAUAUCAUACCGCCAGCAUAGGUUCCCUUCAGGGUGAAAUUUCACGUAUGCCGUGUCGAUAGCUCACAAGACGACUUUAAGAAGUCAUGCGAUGACGCACAUCAACAAUAUGUUUCGAUAAAAGGAGGAUAAGUCGAAAGAUUUGCUGCGGCCAGAAGUUAUGCAGACCAGAAAUUGUUGAUAGUAACUUAUGGCAUAGUGUGUCUCCGUCAGCCACAGUAAUAUACAGUGAAACAGGUGAUAUGUCGGGAAGUAUUAACAACCAUUCUAUAGAACCUGAUGCUGUCACAGAUCAGUCUUCCAACCAGACAAACUGCUAUGUCAGCAGAAGUGUAUUUCGGGCAUGAUGACAUCCAGUUGGCCAUUGAAGAAAGUUUGUUAAGUAUUUGUUAUAGCUAGGAGAAAGACAGCUAACUGUUGAAGAAAUAGGUUGACAAAAAACUACAACCCUCAGAGCCACAAACAGUAGUUGUUCAACGGGAGAGGCUGUUACAAAUGACAUUAAGAGUUGUUGGUAAAUCGACUUUCAACUGGUCACAGCUGCUGCGAAUAGUAUUAUCUGGUGAAGAUUGAGAUGACCAUGGAGGUCCAAAGAAAGAAUAUCUCUGGUUGCUGAGCAAAGCUGUUGCAGAGACAUCCUUGUGUGGCCCAAAGGGAAACAUGAUCUUCGUCCAUGAUGGUGGGUGAAAAGACUGAGUGCAUGACAUUUGAAAUGUAUGUUAAUUGACCAGGCCUACCGAUGAUCAACACCAUGCUGUACUCUUCCUGACUGACCAGGGCAUAAAACCCCAUGUAGACAUUCUUACGCUUUCCCAGACCGAGGAAAUUUCUCGUGUUAAGGAGAUUCCAUGCUGAAAUUACCCAAUUUGUUAAUUGACUUGAUAAAGUGGGUUUGUUGCACAAAAGGAUCCUCCAUGCACCUGAAGCAUUUUCUGGUCUGUUUGUUCACCAAGCUGUUCAUCUAAAGUUUGACACAUACAGAAUACAGAUUGUUGUAUGAGGUGAAGUUCAGUCCAGAGGGUUCCAGUAACCGAAGGUUGGAGAAGGAUACAGUAUACUGCUUGGAGGCAUUCUUGAUUGAAUGUUCGUUUGUCUGAGUUUUGGCAGGACAAUUUCUUGAAUCAUUUCCUGGGCUGUUUCGUUAUGAAGAGGAAAUAGGUAUUAUUGUCUGGUCCUGAUGUAGCAAACAGUAAUAUUACCAGACUAAAGGGUGUGUAAUAAGUUUGUUUCAGUUUUCAACACGGGAAUUUUUUUCAAAUCUCUAUGUCUACAGUGCUACAAAGUGUGACUUAAAUAGUGACUGAGCCAUGCCAUGAGAAAACCAACAUAGAGGCUUUGCGACCAGCAUGGAUCCAGACCAGCCUGCGCAUCCGCGCAGUCUGGUCAGGAUCCAUGCUGUUCACUAA